AUGUCGGGGGCCAAGCCAUUUCCCCGAAAGAUGACACGGGCUAGCUCAUGGGACGAUGAUUCCCCAUACAUAUAUGGUGCCGGCUAUGGGGUGACCUACUCGAAAGAUCCUAAUGUGACUAUCAUGUAUACACCCGCAGUGCUGAAUUACACAGCGCCACUUGAUGUCUAUACUACAGCUCGGUCGAUGGGGCCAGAUCCACAGCUCAACCUCAACUACAACCUUACAUGGAUUUUGCCGGUUGAUGCCGGAUUCGUGUACCUCCUAAGGUUCCAUUUCUGUGAGAUUCAGUCUAUUUUUACCUUGGAAAAUCAGAGGACUUUCUACAUCUACAUCAACAACCAGACAGCGUGUGAUGCCAUGGAUGUAAUCUUCUGGAGCGGAGGAAUUGGUAGACCAAUAUACAAAGACUAUGUUAUGGUGGCUAGUGGUUCCGGUCAGGUGGACAUGUGGAUUGCACUGCACCCUUAUAUUUCAAGUAGAUCACAAUAUUAUGAUGCAAUACUGAAUGGUCUUGAGGUCUUUAAGCUGCAGGGUCACGGAUCGAACAAUCUUGCUGAGCUCAAUCCUCCAAUUCCACAAAAGCCUGAUGUGGAUCGUAAUAGGCUGUCUAGCGGUGUAGGAAAAUCCAAAGGUGACAUACUAGCAGCCAUCGGUGGCGGAUUUGCUUUGAUGUUGAUUGUUCUUUUCAGUAUGUGUGUUAUCUGCAGACGGAAGAAGGUCGUGAAGAUUUCUUGCAAAACCAGCUAUGCACAUCGGAAUCGUCCCACAUGUGAUCUUGUCCAUCACUUCUCAUUUGAAGAAAUUCAACUUGCCACCAAAGAUUUUGAUGAAGCACAUAUCAUCGGCAGAGGUGGUUUUGGGAACGUCUACAGCGGUGAGAUAGAUGGAGGGACAAAGGUGGCGAUCAAGCGACUCAACCAGGAAUCCCAACAAGGCAUUCAUGAGUUCCAGACUGAACUCGAGAUGUUGUGCCAUUUCCGCCAUGGCCACCUUGUAUCUUUGAUUGGCUACUGCAGGGACAAGAAUGAGAUGAUUCUGGUCUAUGACUACAUGCCUCAUGGAACACUGCGUGAGCAUCUGUACGGCACCAGAAACCCAUCACUAUCAUGGAAGCAGCGCCUUAAUAUUUGCAUCGGUGCAGCCCGAGGGCUGCAUUACCUCCACACUGGUACAGAGCAAGGAAUCAUCCACCGCGACGUUAAGACCACCAACAUCCUACUGGAUGAUAGGUUAAUGGCGAAAGUUUCUGACUUUGGUCUAUCUAGGGCAUGUACAGACAUUGACAAUGCGCAUGUGAGCACCGCAGUGAAGGGCUCCUUUGGAUAUUUUGAUCCGGAAUACUUCCUGCUGCGACGUCUCACCAAAAAAUCAGAUGUGUACUCCUUCGGGGUCGUGUUGUUGGAGAUUCUGUGUGCACGCCCUGUGAUAAACACUGAGCUCCCGGACGAGCAAGUGAGCUUGCGUGACUGGGCGCUAUCUUGCCAAGAAAAAGGUGUACUCGAGAAGAUUAUUGACCCCUGUGUUAAGGAGGAGAUCACCCCAAAAUGCCUCAGGAUAUUUGCCGAGCUAGCGGAGAAAUGUGUUGCUCAUCGUAGCAUCGAUAGGCCAUCAAUGGGUGAUGUACUCCAGAAUCUGGAGGUCGCACUCAGGGUGCAGGACAGUAACAACUAUGCCAGGGGGCCAUCGUCUCUUCAGAUCAUCAGUCUAGUGAACUCAUACAAAUCAUCAACCCACUCAAUAACUGACAUCGCUGCACAGGGAGACAUAUUUUCAGAUAUUUUACAUUCGGAAGGCCGAUAA
rnacentral:rRNA from 1 species